rnacentral:rRNA from 1 species
UACCAGCACCCCGAGUGGUCGGGACGUUUAUUGGGCCUAAAGCAUCCGUAGCCGGUUCUACAAGUCUUCCGUUAAAUCCACCUGCUUAACAGAUGGGCUGCGGAAGAUACUAUAGAGCUAGGAGGCGGGAGAGGCAAGCGGUACUCGAUGGGUAGGGGUAAAAUUCGUAGAUAUUCGGAAGAACACCAGUGGCGAAGGCGACUCGCUGGACAGACAUUGACGCUGAGGUGCGAAAGCGUGGGGAGCAAACAGG